rnacentral:lncRNA from 1 species
ACUUGGACCAAUAGGUUGUGAUAGGCCCAAGUUCUUUUAAUGUGAUUAAAAUGUUUUGAUGUAGCCCAAAACUACUCCCUCAAAACGAAUAUUAAGUUGAUAAGCGAGAGAUGUUUUGAACAUCUCUUCGUAGGCCUUCCACCGUGGUGGGCUCCAAUCGUUUGUGACUCAUGCACCGGCUUCACCCUAUCAUGGGGGAGUACAAAGUAUGUGCUUACAUCCAGGAGGAAUCCAUAUAACAUAUGAUGAGGUGAGUGUAGGCAACGAGGAUAGCCGAUAUCAUAUCAUUGUGAGGCUAUUCUUGAACCCCUUCACAAACUAAGCAUGGUGGGAAUAACUUAACUAAGUGCAAUGGAGCCGAUAUCGUAUCAUCGUGAGGCAACAUUCUCUAGAGGCCAAACGGAUGGGUAAUUACAAAAGUUGUAAAUGAAUAAUGCGUUAUUCUCUCAUCAUUAUUUUUGCUAACCAACAUCGUAUCAUCGUG